rnacentral:rRNA from 1 species
UACGGGGGGGGCAAGCGUUGUUCGGAAUUACUGGGCGUAAAGGGCUCGUAGGCGGCCAAUUAAGUCAGACGUGAAAUCCCUCGGCUUAACCGGGGAACUGCGUCUGAUACUGGAUGGCUUGAGUUUGGGAGAGGGAUGCGGAAUUCCAGGUGUAGCGGUGAAAUGCGUAGAUAUCUGGAGGAACACCGGUGGCGAAGGCGGCAUCCUGGACCAACACUGACGCUGAGUGAGCGAAAGCCAGGGGAGCAAACGGG